ACGUGCAGCUAACGGUGGUGGUAGAAAGUAGUAACGGGGCUAGAUUUGAAUGGUAGUUUUCUAAGUCCAAAACUUUCGGUGAUAUUUUUCUAAAGAUCAGAUCUUUUAAUGGUAUGAAUCUAAUUUUCCCUAUCUCAUUCUCCUCUCCCGUCCUCAGUUCCCAAACGCGCCGCCGCCGCCGACGUGUAGUCCAACGCCGGCCGCAUCCGCCGCCUCCACGCACUGAGCGAGCUUCUUCUUGGUCCCCUCCACCGGAUCCCUACCGGCGCCCCGCCUUUCCACCCUGAGCGCGAGGCCGCGGAUAACCCUAGCUGUCGGGUUCGUCACGGUCUCCUCCGCGGAUACCCUAGCCGCCGCUCCUCCGAGCCCUCGCACGUUGCCCUCCUCCUCAUCCCGCGCGGGGGGCAUGCGCUGCACCCCGCCAUGGUCGCCCUCGAGGACCGAAUCAUCGCCAGGACCACGACAUCCAGGGCCUCAUCGUCGACAACCAGCGGAUUCUCCUCCCCGGCGGAUUCCCUCGCCAAUGUCGCAUCCACCCGUGCCUCUAUUUGCUAACCCUAGCAGGCCGGGACCUCCUAGCCUGUCGAUUUUCUCGUUGGGCACGCUCGUGGUCACCAUCUUCUUCGCCACGCGCGGCUCGGAGUCGCCGUACACGGCAGGGCGCUCUCCUCCCCGCGUCCUCCUCCAUCGAAGCAGACUGGCUCAGCUCCUGCCCGCCGACGCCGCCCAUGUGCAGAGUGACAGAAGAGAGCAGCGACUGAGAUUUGUGGAGUCCAGUCCAGUAAAUUCUUACGCUUCGAAGGAGGAUUUGGUAUGAUGCCUAAGUGAAGAGGUGGAAGGGACAAAGAUAUGGUUUCUCACGAUUGUUGGGUGUAAGUUUUCUAUAGGCUAUUCAUGACUUCAGAACCUGCACCCUUUGCUACCCUAACGUCCAAACAGAAUAGGCUUGGGAGGCCUACGUUUCGUUCUAUUUAGAGUGGAAGGCACCCAUAAACUGCCUCCAACAACACUGUCUCCCCGGAACAUGGUUUGUGUGAGGACAUGCAAUAACCAGGUUGAGGUUGGCACUUCGUGUGUGCAAAGCUUUGUACAUAAUCUUCGAGAGGAUGGGUGCAGUGUUAUUGUUUCUUUGAAUUCUCGCCCUGGUGAUCCUACCUUCUCCAUGUUUUCUGGGAAAAGUUUGCCGGUCGACAAGAUUAAGCGUUGGCUGAUGGACUUACAUACGAGAUUCUACCAUUAGCUUCACUUCCGCAGCCCGCUGCCGAUGUUCCCAGUCGGCCACACCCCCAAACAGCAGCAGCACAAGUACAGCUGAUGGAUAUUACUAUGCAUCGGCUAGCAUAGAUAUGUCUAUUCUAACCUAUGAAGGCUUCAGGUGGUUCAGUAAUGCUGAAAAAGGAUGGAAGCCAGUUUGAUGAACCCUGUUAGAUGAACCUUGUUGUGUAUUUUAUCUAAUGGUUUCAAACCAUGUUGUUCAUGAUGUGGAGAUGAACCCUAUUGGUCAUGUAAGUUAAAUGCCUCGAAUGUGAACCCUUGAAUGUUUCAGAAUGCUGGUUUGAGACCUAGACUGCUUGGAAAUAUUGGUUUUAAACAUUGUUUGACUUCU